UCCUCUAGAGACGGCGGCGGCUCGGCCCGGCCAUGGAGAUGGACCUCAGUGCGGUUGGAGGUGAGAGCGGGAGGAGGCGCUGGAGGAGCGUAUCCUAGAGGAGGGUGGCGGCGACCGGACGGAGCUAGAUCGGAUGUCCACGGUGGUACGCCGCCUCUUCCCCGGGUCGCCAGACAGCCGAACGCGGCGAUGACCAGACGCGGCGGCUGUACGCGGCGGAGGCUCGCCGGACGGCCGGAUGCGGCGGCGCGGCGGCGGCGCAGCGGCUGAACGCUGCAGCGGUGGAGGCUCACCGGAGUUUGAUGCUUAGGAGGCGCGGGUCAGGCGGCGGCGGGCCUCCACGAGUAAGCUUUGACCUGGAUUUGGGCAAAGAGAAUUGUCAAAGAAGGUGAUUUGGAGAAGGGAUCUCACUAUUACUCGCUAAACUGUUACAUGACACUAAAAAAUGAUCCACCUACUGAAGAAUUUUGUGCUGAUGGGAUUAUGUGCUUUGAGUAUCAGCAUUCAGCAAUGAAUGCUGAUGAAACUCCCCCGUGUAUUCUUGAAGUUAAGUGUCACGUUCAACAAUUCUGACCGGCAAAUGCAUCAUUUUUCUUAUAUUUAUUCACAGUUUAUAUAUCCGGCAAGUGCUCGUCUCGGUGGCCAUGUAUUAGCUAAAUAUAAUUUUCUCCUUUUGUGAAAACGAAAGCCUAAUGGAGUAGUUCCUUCAGUAGAAACAGACAAGCCUCUGAAUACUUUAGCAACAUAAUUGGAUCGUACCAUGAGACGGUGGAAUAUAAAGGGCUAUGAAGGCAGACCAAGAGAUCAUUGUUGUGUCGUUGUCUGCCUCAGUUACAUCGAGCUUUACUUCCAGAAGGAGAAAAGUCACUCUCCAACUUAAAUAGAUACUGAGAUUUUACAGGAGAUGAUACUCGGCUCUUUGAUCACAUAUCCUGGUAUUUUUGAUCCUUCAGGUCGUAGAAAUGGUAGGAUCAUGACUUCCCCGGUGGCUUGAAGAAGAUUGAUGGGUUGCUAUAUUUUGUUUCUCUUCUUCAUUUUAAGUUUAAGAAUGUGUGCACCUAAAGGAUUGCUUAGGUCACUACCAAUAGUUUAUUUUUAUUCUAUGCAUCUUAAGUAUACUCCUAGAAAGAAAUUGUACAAAUUUAGUCAUUAC